AAAACUUUAAAAAAUGUUAAAAAAAAAAAACCCAAACCUAGCUUUUUUUCCUUUUUAAUUUUCAAAAGUAUAUAAUUCUCCCAACCCCCACUCCAAGUCAAUUUUCUGCUUAAGUAAUAAUCUGGUAAGGGAAGGAAGCGAUUUCAUGCUUCAGUGAAAUCGUAAAUUAGUGUCCAAGUACAGUGCUGUCUCUCUGCCUCACUCCUCCCCUGGCAAAGAACCAAGGAAACCACAAACUGACGUGAUCUGAGCUGCCUGGGCAAGGCCCCUGCUCCCUGGGCCCGGGCUGGGUCUGGCCCUGCUGCUCUGGCCCCCAAGCUCCAGGCAGACCUCGAGUCGAUGAUGCACCAGAGACACCGCUGUGCACACCGGCCACUGGGCUCUGGGGUCAUGAGGUUCUGUGACCGACCAAAGGGAGCCGGAGAGACGCCGUGCCCAUUUCCGGGCCCAGACCUUCAGACACUGGCAGCUUCCACUCUUGCAGUGCUCCCUUCAGGGGAAGCCAGACAACGGGAGGCCUGACCACACCGCGAGGAGACGGCAGCCUGCCACGUGGAGGAGGGCAGCCCGGCCGUUCCCCCUGCCCUUCCGGCCACGGGAGCCCAGGCACCACACACGCGAGUGAGGAAGUCGCCUUGGACAGCCCAGCUGCAGCAGGUGGGCCCCCGCCAGCAAGUCGGAACCGGGGCCCCAGACACUGGCCCCAGUGACUGCAAAGGUCACGCAUCACCCAACCUCAAACCCUGAGACAGAUCCUGACUGAGCAACUGCUGGAGGCCAGGCUACGUUGAAGGCCCACACCAAAUCAAGAUGGCGGCUCUCACUCUUGAUCUCGGGGUAGAGAUCAAGACACAUGUAACAGAAAGGCCAAGAGUGACGCUAAAAGCAAGUGACAAACCAGACAGUACACGACACGCGCUUCCAGUGGCCUGGGCCUUUAGCAUAUGCUCACACGGCCAGCUGUUCCAGUGUUGUUGCUGUUACUACCACGUCCGCUGAACAAAGAACGGAGCAGACACUCCGGAUCCUGACUCCAUCCCUACCCUCCGCUUUCUGGUUUUAUUUUGUUUUGUAAGGAAGCUCUACGCCCAACGCGGAGUUUGAAUUGACGAUCCCGAGAUCCAGAGGCACCCGCUCCACUGACAGCCAGCCGGGCGUCCCUCUGCUUUGCUCUGAAUAAGGCAGUGCUCACGGUCUAUUCGUGUUUAGGUUGUUCGGAUUUUUUAAAUGAUUAUAUGAUAUUGUUGCGAUCAGAAAAAAAAAAAAACGCUAAAGGUUUCUGUCAAGCCUGUGAGGUCUGUGAAAAAGGAAGGAGUUAAAUGCUAUUAAACACCACAUAAGCGCAGGGCUGUGUGAUUCAACACCCGUUCCCAGGCAGGGAUCUCGGGACUGACGCGUGACGCUGCGGCCCAGAUGCCUGCCCCACCCCGCCCCCACGUCUGGGGAUCCAAGCACCUCAGGGAGCCUGCAGGGUGCAGGGGUAUCCUUCUUCCCCUUGCCAAGUGGAAAGCAGACUAAGCACCCUUGUAGAGCACACAAAUCUAAUUGUUAAUUGAAAGCAAAUCAGUAUGACCAGGGUAACUGAAUCAGAGGCGCAGAUCAUUCCAGAUACGAGUGCACUAUCACACAAAGGGCCCUUUCCCUAAAAGCCUCUGCCUUUCAAUGGUCCUUUCUUUAAGAAACUAAUAAAACUUUAUGUACAUUCAAAAAAUUGUAGGUACCUUCUUAUUAUUUUUAUUUAAAAUUUUUUUAUUUUUUUUGACAGAGUGAGCAUGCACUCAAACAGGGGAGGGGCAGAGAGAAGGGGAGAGAAAUCCCAAGCACGCUCCGUGCUGUCAGCACAGAGCCCGAUGCAGGGCUUGUACCCACGAACUGUGAGAUCAUGACCUCAGCCGAAAUCAAGAGUCAGACAUUUAACUGACUGAGACACCCAGGUGCCCUGUAGGUACCCUGUUUUUAAUUUAAAAUGCAAAGGAUUAGAAUUAUUUGUAUUUUUGUGUGUGUAUGUAUUUUGAUUUUGUUUUCCAUCUCUUUGUUGUGCAAGAUUCCAAUCCUGCAGUAAAGUCAUGAUAAUUGUGUAACA